AGUAAUCUAGAACAUUCUCAAGCCUCUUUCACUCAGUUGCCAAGCCACUGGGCAAACCCAGUCAAUACCUCCCACCAAGGAAUGAGAUAUGUGGACCUCCCUGCUCCCCCAACCCGGCGUCAGGCUGGGACACGCCAACGCUGUUCUGGGUUGGAACAGCAGAGGCUCAGAAGCUGGCUCUGAAAGAGGCAGACCUAGCAAAAGGAAGAUACAGGGUAUCGGGCGUUUGAGUGUUUCAGAAGUCACUCGGGAAGAUAAAUCCAGUGCGCUGGGCACAGCCACCUGCAUUCAAAGCUUGGACCAGCGGGUUCUUGUUCAGGAGGCAAAUUUCCCUAGGAAAAAGAAGACAGACUUUUCUAAUGCGGUCCAAAUGCCGGUCACUGGUCAGAUGGACUGUAGAAGGACUGAGCUCCCUGUCUCUGGAAGCAUUUAAGAAAAGAUCACGCCACUGCACUCCAGCCUGGGCAACAAGAGCAAAACUCCAUCUCAAAAUAAAAA
rnacentral:sRNA from 1 species